rnacentral:rRNA from 1 species
GACGAACGCUGGCGGCGUGCUUAACACAUGCAAGUCGAACGGAAAGGCCCUGCUUUUGUGGGGUGCUCGAGUGGCGAACGGGUGAGUAACACGUGAGUAACCUGCCCUUGACUUUGGGAUAACUUCAGGAAACUGGGGCUAAUACCGGAUAGGAGCUCCUGCUGCAUGGUGGGGGUUGGAAAGUUUCGGCGGUUGGGGAUGGACUCGCGGCUUAUCAGCUUGUUGGUGGGGUAGUGGCUUACCAAGGCUUUGACGGGUAGCCGGCCUGAGAGGGUGACCGGCCACAUUGGUACUGCGAUACGGCCCAGACUCCUACGGGAGGCAGCAGUGGGGAAUAUUGCACAAUGGGCGGAAGUCUGAUGCAGCAACGCCGCGUUCGGGAUGCCGGCCUUCGGGUUGUAAACCGCUUUCGCAUGUGACGAAGCGUGAGUGACGGUAAUGGGUAAAGAAGCACCGGCUAACUACGUG